rnacentral:lncRNA from 1 species
GCAAAGGAAAGUUUCUCCUUGUUAUCAAUCAUCUCCCUCCGCUGCCUUCGACUUUUAAAUUAUCUGGAGGAGCGGGGAGAGAAUAGAUAGGGUCCCCAUCACUUACUGCAGCCCUCGGUCUCCGCUCCCUGCAGCAGCAGACGCUGUGUCUUCCCCCUUCAGCGGUCCCCCCCCACUUUGGCUAUGGGGUAAAAUCACAUGCAGCCACACCCGGAACACGUUCUACUUUUGGUUGUCUUCAAAAUAGGAUUUUUGGGACAGAAAAAAAAAAAAAAAAAAAAAAAAAGAGAGAGAGAGAGAAGGAAAGAAAGAAAAAGAAAAAAAAAGAGAAGGCAGGGAGAUGGCGGGAGGUGGUGUCAUCAUGCAGCUGGAAUGAGGGGGGGGUGAGGAGCAGCAGCCCACACCCUCAUUCCAGAGUUUAUUAUCCUCCGAAGGGAGCCCGCUCCUCCCAUUCCCCCGGGACGGGCCAGCACCGGGUUGCUGGGGCUCCGUUACGGCCCCGGCGGCUGCCAGAGCCCACCGGGGACGGGGAGGAACCGGGGAGAGGGGGGGCUGCCGUCGGGGGGAGGCAGCGGAGCCCCCGUUGGGCACGGGCAGAUGGCGGGCUGGCAGGCGGCCGAGGGGCUGGCAGCAACGGGAAUGACAUCACCCCACUGCCCGCGGCGGAGGGGCCGGCACAGCCCGGGAUGGGGACAGGAUGGUCCCGGGAUCCCCUGUCUCGUGCUGCUUUCUGAGACUUCUUUUCCCUUUGCUGCUCCUGGAAUUACUCCUCUGGGUCUGAGGAGGCACUGCCUGGAUGGUGCCCUUCGUGUGACCUUCAAGGCACCAUCUCAGUCCUGAAGGCAAGGGUGUCGAAAGAGAAAACUAGGCAAUGACUCCAUCUCCCUCCCUCGUACAGCAAUGAAGGACAGGAACCUUGCAGGGGAAAGCUGUGUCCCCUAAGGCUUAUCCUGGUAGCUAGGUAACCCUCAACAAAUUGCAGGCUAGGAAUAAAACCCUCUAAUGCCUUGUGCA